AGUCAAACGCUAAACGCAUUAAAAGAAGAAGAAAUAUACAAAAGUACAAAAAGUGUCAAGUAUAAUAAUCUACAAGACGACAUAAAUGAAAAUAAAAAAAAACACGUUAUGACACUAUCCUACAAAAACUGUUUUGUUAAUUAUUUUAAACACCUUAAUUACAAAAUGAAAAAAUUUUUUAAAGCACUAUUUUUAAGAAAAAAUAAAGAUUAUGACAAUGAAAUAACACUAAAAAUAAAAGACGAAUCACACGAAUUAUAUUAUAAUAAUAUAAACAGUAAGUAUUACAACAAAAUUUUAUUAUCUCCCUCUCAAAGUAAUGAUGUGUUUUUUAAAAAAAAUAAAAAACAUAAUAUUAAUCAUGUUAGCCAUGUUGACCAUGUUGACCAAGUUGACCAUGUUGAUAACAAGAUGAGUAAAAGCAUUGAAUGUCGAAUUGAAUUUUUGUUUUAUUGUGAAAGCUUUAACAAAAAAGAAAAUGGUUAUCAAACUAUUAUUGAACCAGUACUAACCGAAAUUAUAUUAUUAAAAACAUAUUUAAAUUCUCCUAUUCAUAUAUAUUGGUAUUAUUCUUGGUUAAAUAUUAAUAUAAAUUUUAAUUUUUUAGAUAAUAUUCUUUCUUUAUGUUGUAAUAUUAUUUUUGCUAUGAUUACACAAAGGACAAGACUAUUAUUAGGUAGGUAUAUAAAUGAUACACAAAAUAAAAAAAAUUAUAACAAAAUAAAUCAUGAAAAUAAAACUGAUAAAUUAACGGAUGGCGAUGUUUUAUUUAAACGUACAAAUAUGAGUAUGCAAAACACAACAUUACAAAAAAGGAAUUAUAUUAAAAUUGAUUAUAAGGAUGGUGAUUUUACAAAAAGAAGUAGCGACAAUCAUAACAUGGUUAACAUGGAUGACGUAGUUCAUGUGGUCAAUGGUACCGAUAAUGAGAUAGAAGAUCCAUAUGCUUCUAUGUUUAUGUCAAACUACUACGGUUUUAUGAACGAUGAACAAUAUAAAGACCUAGUUAUUUUAACUAAUGAUAAUAUACUUCUCAGAUAUAAAAAAUUUCAUGUUUUAAAUACGGUUAAUAAAUCUUUAGAUAUAAAUAUAUUCGGUGAACUCAUAAUAGAAAAGUUAUUUAAAAAUUAUUUAUAUACAUGUCAAUAUCCAGGUGAUUAUCUAAACCAACCUGAAAACAGAUAUGAUGAAAAUAAAACAAUUAACCCAGUAAACAAAUUAAUACAUAUGACAUUAUUUGAUUAUAUAAAAAAAAAAAAUGUAGAUACAAACCACACUUGUAAAUUAAAUAAUUUACUAGGUCAACCAAUAGCUAUCUGCACCAUCAAACAGAGCGGCAUUCUGAAUAAUGAUUAUUUAUAUUUAAACAAGUACACAACAAAAAAAAAUCAUAAUCAUGGUUACAAUAAAGAAAAAACAAAAAAAAAAAACUUUUUAAACGAUUCUAAUAUAGUACAAAAAAAAAAGGUACACAAAAAGAAAAAACAAGAUAAGUGUGUGACAAAUACUAUAAACCAAGGCAUAAAUUGUCAAAUCGUGCAAAAUGAAUCAAAUGGUAUAAACAAUAAAGGCGAAACACACAAUAGGGACGGUACACACAAUAGGGGAGACAAAUACAAUAAGGGCGACACACACAACAGAGGUAAUGAUCUGGCUGAACAAGUUUUUAAAAGUUUUCAUGAUAACAAUACAAAUACGGACAAUGCUACCUCUUUAUCAAAAAAUAGUACAACUAAUAAUACGAGUAAUAGUAGUGGAUUUAACAAACAUAAUAUAAAAUAUUCAUGGAGAAUAAUAAACCAUAACGAAUCGAUUGAUUUACCUAUAAAUAAAAAUGGAAAAGUAGAUUUUUUUUUAAUUCGUUUUAGAUUAUUAAACUAUGUUUAUGAUAUACCAUCAUAUAUGCUUAACAAUGAAAAAGACAAUGAAGAUGUAAUACGAUUGGUUAUACCUGAACGUAAACUACCUGCUCAUAUAAAUCAACAAAUAGAAUAUGAUUUAUUAAAUCGGGAUAGUAUGGAAAUGCAUACAGAUUCUUUUCACAUUUCUGCUUAUAGUCGCCGCCGUACUAAUAGUAGUACUAGUAAUAAAAAUCGUAUAAUAUACCCAACUAAUUACUACAACAACGAAAAGAAAAAUGUAAAUCAUAUAAAAAAUAUAUACCAAGUCAAUGAUUAUAACAAUUAUGACUACGAUAAUAAUAACAAUAUUUCAGUUUCCACCCCUAAUAACAAUGUGAAAUAUACAUGGAAGCCAUAUAAUGUACCUCUAGCACGCAACCAACUAUUUAUUUUGUUUCGUACAAGUAAUAGAAUAACCCAUGAGGAAAAACAAGAAUGUGAAUUUUUUAUAUCUUCUAUAAUUGCUGUUAAAAAUAAUACAGAUUUCCCCAUGUAUCUUUUCAAAUCAGUACCAGGGAAUAUAAAAGAAAGUAAUAUAUUUAUAGAUUAUUUUCAUAAAUUUAACUGUAUCCCUAGCCCACCUCCCACAUAUACAUUAAAAAUAAAUAAACAAGUAGAAAAGGUGUUAAUGAAAAAAAUAAGUAUACGCAACUCGAUGAUAGAAAAGAAAAAUAUGAUAAAUAACAAACAAAAUAUUAUCAACAUAAAUAAAGUAGAUACUGAGACAAGUUCAAUCCAUGUAAAUACUAUUAUUAAUAAUAAUAAUAAUAAUAAUAAUAAAAAAAAAUUAUAUAGCACACCUUAUUUAAAUAAAAAUAAUAAUAAUUAUAUUUGUAAUGACAUAGAACAAAGACUAAAAAAAGGAAUGCGUACUCAAAAUAUUUGCUAUUUAUAUGGUAGAAAAUUUCUAAAAAAUGUUUUUCCCAUAAUGAAAUUAUCAAAUACAGAACAUUAUAUAUCUAAUGAUAUAAAGUUUAGUACAUUAGCACCUUUAAAAUAUGAAAAAAAAGAAGAAAAAAAAAGGAGACAUAAACUAAAAGCAGAAUAUCAAAAACAGUUGAUAAAAAAAAAAGUUAAAGAAAUUAUAAAAAAAAAAAAAUUAAAAAAAACAAAAAAAAAAAAAAAAAAAAAAAAAAAAAAAAAAAAAAACCUUUUAAAGUUAUAAAACAUCUUAAAACUAACAAAUUGGAAAGGAGUGAUAAAAAUGUAUAUAUGCAAAAUAACUCAUUUAAUAGUGAUGAUUUUCAUAAUAAGAGCAAACAAUCUAAUUUUACACAAAGCAAAGAUAGAUUAAUCCUAAUGAACGAACUACAUGAUAAAAAAAAUGUAUUUGUUUAUAAAAAAAUAAAUAAACAAAACAAUUUAAAUAACUUAUAUAU
ensembl:lncRNA